GAUGAAGAACGCAGCGAAAUGCGAUACGUAAUGUGAAUUGCAGAAUUCAGUGAAUCAUCGAAUCUUUGAACGCAUAUUGCGCUCUCUGGUAUUCCGGAGAGCAUGCUUGUUUGAGUAUCAGUAAACACCUCAACUUCCAUAUCUUUUUUGAAAUGGGAGUUGGACUUGAGUGAUCCCAACGCUUUUCCUCACCGAAAAGUGGCGGGUUACUUGAAAUGCAGGUGCAGCUGGACUUUUCUCUGAGCUAUAAGCAUAUCUAUUUAGUCUGCCUAAAAAACAGAUUAUUACCUUUGCUGCAGCUAACAUAAAGGAGAUUAGUUCUUGUGCUGACUGAUGCAGGAUUCACAAAGACGGCUUCGGCCGACUUUGUAAACUCGAUCUCAAAUCAAGUAAGACUACCCGCUGAACUUAAGCAUAUCCAAUAAGCGGAGGA
rnacentral:misc_RNA from 1 species